rnacentral:rRNA from 1 species
CCUACGGGAGGCAGCAGUGAGGAAUAUUGGUCAAUGGCCGGAAGGCUGAACCAGCCAUGCCGCGUGAAGGUCAGUGCCCUAUGGGUUGUAAACCUCUUUUGUCGGGGAGCAAAGCGAGUCACGUGUGACUCAUUGAGAGUACCCGAAGAAAAAGCAUCGGCUAACUCCGUGCCAGCAGCCGCGGUAAUACGGAGGAUGCGAGCGUUAUCCGGAUUUAUUGGGGUUAAAGGGUGCGCAGGCGGAGGUGCAAGUCAGCGGUCAAAUUGCGGGGCUCAACCCCGUACUGCCGUUGAAACUGCAUCCCUUGAGUGCGCGAGAAGUAUGCGGAAUGCGUGGUGUAGCGGUGAAAUGCAUAGAUAUCACGCAGAACUCCGAUUGCGAAGGCAGCAUACCGGCGCGCAACUGACGCUCAUGCACGAAAGCGUGGGUAUCGAACAGGAUUAGAUACCCUAGUAGUC